AGCGAACGCUGGCGGCAGGCUUAACACAUGCAAGUCGAGCGGGCACUUUCGGGUGUCAGCGGCGGACGGGUGAGUAACGCGUGGGAACGUGCCCUCUGGUUCGGAAUAACUCAGGGAAACUUGAGCUAAUACCGGAUACGCCCUUUUGGGGAAAGGCUUGCUGCCGGAGGAUCGGCCCGCGUCUGAUUAGCUAGUUGGUGAGGUAACGGCUCACCAAGGCGACGAUCGGUAGCUGGUCUGAGAGGAUGAUCAGCCACACUGGGACUGAGACACGGCCCAGACUCCUACGGGAGGCAGCAGUGGGGAAUAUUGGACAAUGGGCGCAAGCCUGAUCCAGCCAUGCCGCGUGAGUGAUCAAGGCCUUAGGGUUGUAAAGCUCUUUUAUCCGGGACGAUAAUGACGGUACCGGAGGAAUAAGCCCCGGCUAACUUCGUG
rnacentral:rRNA from 1 species